GUGGGGAAUAUUGGACAAUGGGCGAAAGCCUGAUCCAGCCAUGCCGCGUGUGUGAAGAAGGUCUUCGGAUUGUAAAGCACUUUAAGUUGGGAGGAAGGGUAGUAACCUAAUACGUUGCUACUUUGACGUUACCGACAGAAUAAGCACCGGCUAACUUCGUGCCAGCAGCCGCGGUAAUACGAAGGGUGCAAGCGUUAAUCGGAAUUACUGGGCGUAAAGCGCGCGUAGGUGGUUCAGUAAGUUGGAAGUGAAAUCCCCGGGCUCAACCUGGGAACUGCUUUCAAAACUGCUGAGCUAGAGUACGGUAGAGGGUGGUGGAAUUUCCUGUGUAGCGGUGAAAUGCGUAGAUAUAGGAAGGAACACCAGUGGCGGAGGCGACCACCUGGACUGAUACUGACACUGAGGUGCGAAAGCGUGGGGAGCAAACAGGAUUAGAUACCCCGGUAGUCC
rnacentral:rRNA from 1 species